rnacentral:lncRNA from 12 species
CUUUGUAUUCCUACUUUUUCUAUUUUCUCUUUCCCUCGUUCUUUGUAUUCCUACUUUUUCUAUUUUCUCUUUCCCUCGUUCUUUGUAUUCCUACUUUUUCUAUUUUCUCUUUCCCUCGUUCUUUGUAUUCCUACUUUUUCUAUUUUCUCUUUCCCUCGUUCUUUGUAUUCCUACUUUUUCUAUUUUCUCUUUCCCUCGUUCUUUGUAUUCCUACUUUUUCUAUUUUCUCUUUACUCCUGUUUCUGUUUUCUCGUUCCUUCAUUCUUUCUAUUCUAUAAUUUUCUAUUUUCUCUUUCCCUCGUUCUUUCUAUUCCUCCUUCUUUAAUUUUCUUGUUCCCUCGUUCUUUCUAUUCCUCCUUUUUCUACCUUCUCGUUCCCUCGUUCUUUCUAUUCUUUCAUUUUCCAUUUUCUUGUUCCCUCGUUCUUUCUAUUAUUUUUUUUAAUGUUUUCUCGUUCCAUCGUUCUUUCUUUUCUUUCUUUUUUGUUUUCUUCUUGUUCUCUUGUUCAUUCUCCAAGCCAGAUGAACUUUGUGCCAAGAUGCUGGAUGGUAAUGGAAGAAUAAUGUCUUCAGGGCACUGAAACUUGCCAGAUUUUGCUACAAAUCUAAAGCUAAAUCUCUGACUUUCCAGAUGAACCUGCACCUUUUCCACUGAUGUCUGAUGAACUGUCAUACUCUGUUUGAAAGACAGCAAAGCAGGUUUUCC